ACGUUGCAGCUCCUCACUGCCCACGGGUCCAGUCCCCCACUACUCCAUGCUAUUCUGUGAAUAAAAGAGCACUACUGCUAGGUCUUGAGAGUCCAGGAAAUCUUUCUUUUGACUCCUUGAUGCACCAAGCUCGCACCACCUCCACCUCUUUUCACACGGCUUAGAGAUGCGGCUCUGGACUGGGUUUGACUCCUAGUUCCAUCACUAACUAACCAUGUCACUAAUCCCUAGGAGUCUUAGUUUUCGCAUCUGGAAAAUGGUAACAAGAACAAUAACGCCUAUUUCACAGGAUUGUUGUGAAAAUACGAUGCUCUAUCUAAAACGAUCAGCUUACUUCUUGGGGUUAAUAAUCAACAAUGGUUACUCAUCACUCUAAUUUUACUGCUCUCCUUGGACAAACUCCAGAAGACACUUAGGUUCAUAUAGGCUGAAGGAAGACUGACCUGAAUUUGAAUUCUGAGUCUCUUCUUGUGUGAAGAAACUUGGGAUGGGUUAUUGUGAAAGAGAAGCUGACGUAAUUUCUUUUUCUGGUUCCAGGUAUUUCCUGCAACCCCUUCAAUAGCUAGAGCAUUCUACACCCACUGACUCCGGUGUAGCGUUUUUUCUAGCAGGUAUCCAAAGAGAGAGAGAGUCAGUGCUUGGUCUUUGAGGUUCAAAACAGGCCUUUGAAACUCAAGGCAAGGACUACAGUCUUGAGCAAAAAAGGUUUUUGAGUUUCAAGAGCCCGUAUCCGUUGAGUUUCAAAAGACCAAAAUCCUGCACUGAACAAUAGGCAUAGAAGAAUACGCUCAUUGAUCUGUGAGCAUGAGGUUUUUUCCCACCGCAAAAAAUCUCACAGGCUCAGGAAAAGCAGCAAAAGAGAAACAUGAGGGUUAGACUCCUGUCAGGGCACCCAGUGAGACCAGGUCCCAUGGAAUACAAGAGUUAAGGAUAAAAUCACAGACAGGAGGGUAUACAGGAGCCUCUUCUCACUUCCCAAGGGAGGACCAGGAAAGUGAACAGGAUUCGAGAGUUCUCCAGCACCCUGCCGAGGGUCACCCCAGUAGAGUGGGAAUGACAGCCUGGCGUUGCCGAUGAAGGAAAGAGGCUGGGGUCCCUGGACCUGGAGGAGCUUUGUGGAUGGAGGCUGAAGCUGAUGCCUGCUUUCCACCAUUCAGGUGUUCCAACAGCUUACUUGACAAAGGAAGGAUGGAGGAUACUUCUCAAGGUGUAUUCAUUUCAGGAACUGUGCAUUAGUCCUGGGCUGCCCUCUGAACUCUGUGGCAAAUGGAACACAAGCUAAUGGUCACUAGCUUCACUGAGUAUAUGAUGACUCUGCUUACAUUUAGAUCAACGAGAGACAGGGAUGGAAGGUAACUGCCUCAGUUUCCUCAAGGGAGCUCAGUCUUUGCGAUUCUGAAAGCAAAACCAUCUGAAGAUACCAAAGCAAAAUGUUAGGCAAAGCAAAAGGCUACCUGGCUGACUCCGCUCAGAAGGAAGAACUUUCUAUCAAGACUGCCCCUACAAAGAGCUGUGAGAGCCCACCCUAUGAAUCUGAAGGCUUUCUAAAAUUUUUGAUAAAGUCAAGUGCAUAGUCGAUGUGACUUGUACUUGAUAUGAACAAGUCCUGUGGGUCACUGAGUUUGCUCAGGUCUGAGUUCUGUUUGCCCUCCAAGGUUCUACUGUUCCAGGGAGUGUGUGCUGCUCCAGUCUGGAUGUAGACACCAAAGUCCCACCCCCUGGGCCAGCCCCACCUUCUAGGAGAGUUUGGCAGAAUAUAGGAAGCUCAAUGAUUGCAUUUUUAGGAAUGUAUCCUAAAGAAAUAAUCAUGCACAUAUGUGGAGGUUUAACUCAAGGAUGUUCAUCUAAGAAUUAACUAUAAUAAUGAAAACUGUAAAUAACUUAAAAACACAACAACUGGGUAAUGAUUAAAUUACAGGAGAUCCAUGGGAUAUUACAUUGUCCUUAAAUGUUCUGUUUUGAGGAAUAUUUAAUAACGUGGGAAAAUGCUUAGGGUAUAACAUUUUUAAAUUAUGUUACACGUCGGUACGUACAAGAUUUGCAAAUAUUCACAUGUAUAAAGAGGUUCACCAAAAUAAAACUGUGAUUCUCUUUGAA